CGCAAGGAUAAGCUGCUCUCGCCCUGAUAGUUGCGCGGGAUCUGCCUCACGCGAUGGCCGCGCUUAUCGACUUUGGUGCGCGCCUUAGCAGAAGAGAUACAUCUCGCGGCACAAUUGCACAGAUUGUAACUAUUACAUCCUCAUCGCAUUCGCAUGGUCGAAUUCACCUGUGCGCGUUUAACAACUGAUUGAUUACUGUGGGGUGGCAUUCGCAUUGUUGCGUG
rnacentral:misc_RNA from 1 species